AUAUGGCGUGUCCAGGAAGAAAUGCAUAGCAGAUGAAGGCUCAGUAGAUAAUUCUAGAAAUAUAUGUGGGAACAGAUCUCAUAGGCCUUGAGUGAGGUCAUGCUCAGGCAUUGAUGGGAAGUUCUGGACAUCUGCUACCCCAUGACUUUGUCCUUCAACCGCAUGUCUCAAGGGACGUGGCAUGCGCACAGAAGACGCUGAGCUCAGCUUACUGGGAAUACUGAAUGGUUCACCAUCAGGACUGUAAACCCAGCUGCCUGAUGCUUCUGCUGGGAAGACUUCAAGGGUACUGGAUCGCUGUACUGGGCUUGCAUAAUCAUGAGUGCAGUGUUCCCAAUGCUUAUUCUACAUAGUAAAACCAUCUGUGUAUGUGGGCACCAAGAGUUGGUCAUUCAGGAGUCAGAUGCUAUCUUGGAGGGCAAAGUCAUAGCCCGGCCCUCAUGAAGAGUGGCCCUCAGGCUGUGGGAAAACCUAACCUGAUCUGUCUUACCCCGUGGCUGUGAGGUUUGCAUAUUGUUAAAAAGACACAUGAAAGGUCACCAUCUUGGUAUUGUGGUAACAGCUGGGUCUCCUGGACUGGCUGUCAGGUGCAGCAGAAUCUGUCUAGAGAAGAUUUCCAUGGUGAAUAGCAUGCUCCCUUCCAUAAGAGGCGCUCACAGUUGAAUAGGGCACAGCUUGCUUUCUAGCCUGGGUUUGUACCCUGCUCACAUUGAUGGGCAAACAACCUCAGGCCACCAAGGUGGCCACGGCCAGUGUCACUAAGCAUGCCAUCAUUAGAACUGGCUCACACUUGGCUCUGCAUGUCCCUGCCAUCCUGCAGCAUCUUUCAGUUCACCAUUAAGAACCUGUGGUGGCCAUGCCUGAUGGUACAGAUCUGUCAUCCCAGCAGCUCUGGAAGCCGAGGCAGGAAGAUCAAAUGUUCAAGGACAGCCUGGGCAACUUAGUGAGACCCUGCCUCAAAUUUUGAAAAAAAAAAAAAAGUUUUUUUUUUAAAAGGGGGAGAUAUUUCCAUGGUAGAGCAUUUGCCUGGCAUGUGGGGGACCCUGGGUUCAAUCCUUAGUACUAC
rnacentral:lncRNA from 1 species